GACGAACGCUGGCGGCGUGCUUAACACAUGCAAGUCGAACGGAAAGGCCCUGCUUUUGUGGGGUGCUCGAGUGGCGAACGGGUGAGUAACAAGUGAGUAACCUGCCCUUGACUUUGGGAUAACUUCAGGAAACUGGGGCUAAUACCGGAUAGGAGCUCCUGCUGCAUGGUGGGGGUUGGAAAGUUUCGGCGGUUGGGGAUGGACUCGCGGCUUAUCAGCUUGUUGGUGGGGUAGUGGCUUACCAAGGCUUUGACGGGUAGCCGGCCUGAGAGGGUGACCGGCCACAUUGGGACUGAGCUACGGCCCAGACUCCUACGGGAGGCAGCAGUGGGGAAUAUUGCACAAUGGGCGGAAGCCUGAUGCAGCAACGCCGCGUGCGGGAUAACGGCCUUCGGGUUGUAAACCGCUUUCGCCUGUGACGAAGCGUGAGUGACGGUAAUGGGUAAAGAAGCACCGGCUAACUACGUG
rnacentral:rRNA from 1 species